GAGUGAAGCGGCAACAGCUCAAAUUUGAAAUCUGGCUCUUUUAGAGUCCGAGUUGUAAUUUGCAGAGGGCGCUUUGGCUUUGGCAGCGGUCCAAGUUCCUUGGAACAGGACGUCACAGAGGGUGAGAAUCCCGUACGUGGUCGCUGGCUAUUGCCGUGUAAAGCCCCUUCGACGAGUCGAGUUGUUUGGGAAUGCAGCUCUAAAUGGGAGGUACAUUUCUUCUAAAGCUAAAUAUUGGCCAGAGACCGAUAGCGCACAAGUAGAGUGAUCGAAAGAUGAAAAGCACUUUGGAAAGAGAGUCAAACAGCACGUGAAAUUGUUGAAAGGGAAGCGCUUGCAGCCAGACUUGCUUACAGUUGCUCAUCCGGGUUUCUACCCGGUGCACUCUUCUGUAGGCAGGCCAGCAUCAGUUUGGGCGGUAGGAUAAAGGUCUCUGUCACGUACCUCCUUUCGGGGAGGCCUUAUAGGGGAGACGACAUACUACCAGCCUGGACUGAGGUCCGCGCAUCUGCUAGGAUGCUGGCGUAAUGGCUGUAAGCGGCCCGUCUUGAAACACGGACCAAGGAGUCUAACAUCUAUGCGAGUGUUUGGGUGUCAAGCCCGAGCGCGUAAUGAAAGUGAACGGAGGUGGGAACCCGCAAGGGUGCACCAUCGACCGAUCCUGAUGUCUUCGGAAGGAUUUGAGUAAGAGCAUGGCUGUUGGGACCCGAAAGAUGGUGAACUAUGCUUGAAUAGGGUGAAGCCAGAGGAAACUCUGGUGGAGGCUCGCAGCGGUUCUGACGUGCAAAUCGAUCGUCAAAUUUGGGCAUAGGGGCGAAAGACUAAUCGAACUAUCUAGUAGCU
rnacentral:rRNA from 1 species